CUUGCUGGGCAUUUCUUAUACCAAUAGACUAUUCCAAGAAGGACACAAGCAGUUUUUUGCUGAACGUUAAAUACAGCAGCCAAUAAAAAACUCACGGGUAGUUUGAAAGAAGAGUGAACGGGCGCAAUAACGGUAGGCUUUAGCAGUUAUUUAUUCAGACCCAUAACCGCUCAAUCUUCGUAAGGGAAGCGAAAGCGUUCUGCAUGUGAUUCUAGACCUAUAUUAUUCAAGGACGUCAAUAGAAUGAUGAAGAUAAUGACAACGAAACCGUUGAAAGCAAGGAUGGAAGGAGGCAACAAUAGAGAAAGAGGAGGCUGAGGGGACUAAGCAGCUGUGACUCCACUCCUUCAGACCCCACUGAUCCGCUACAGUCACUCUUAUGUUCUACCUUCAUGCCGAAACAGAGUACUGUACCUUUCACUAGAACCAGGUGAUCUCUUUGUAUUCUGAGUGGAACAUCCCCCUCAACUUAAAUUAACUUGUCAAAAAUGUCACGCAGAACCAUUGAAUGUAGUGAAGGUAUGUAGGAAAACUAUUUUUUUGUGAAAUAUCUAUUUAACAUAGAAAUCUUCAUCUUCCUGCCAGUGUUGGUUGCAAUUACCCAACACAGUGUACGGUACAUUGUAUAGACCACAUGAAUGUUAACAGUGGUAUGUUUUCACGAAUUGUAAUCACUAGUGUAGGAUUUCGGUAGUAGAACUAUACUUUUAAUGUGUUAUUUGACAAUGCUUGAAAUGUGAGUAAUCUGCUAUGAAUUCAGUACUAUUAUUGUGAAAUAAAGAUUUGAUCCUAAAAGACAGAUUCAUCCAUUGUCUUUCAUCAAUAUGUUUUAGAACUACCAAUUUAUUGUUUAUCACUGUCAAAUAAAUAUUUCUCUCAAGA